UCCAAGUGGGCCAUUUUUGGUAA
rnacentral:siRNA from 1 species